rnacentral:rRNA from 1 species
GAGUUUGAUCAUGGCUCAGGAUGAACGCUAGCUACAGGCUUAACACAUGCAAGUCGAGGGGAAACGGCAUUGAGUGCUUGCACUCUUUGGACGUCGACCGGCGCACGGGUGAGUAACGCGUAUCCAACCUUCCCAUUACUGUGGAAUAACCUGCCGAAAGGCAGACUAAUACCGCAUGGUCUUCGAUGACGGCAUCAGAUUUGAAGUAAAGAUUUAUCGCUUGAGGAUGAGCUUGCGUCCCAUUAGCUCGUUGGUGAGGUAACGGCCCACCAAGGCGACGAUGGGUAUCCGGCCUGAGAGGGUGAACGGACACAUUGGGACUGAGAUACGGCCCAAACUCCUACGGGAGGCAGCAGCUAAGAAUAUUCCGCAAUGGACGGAAGUCUGACGGAGCGACGCCGCGUGGAUGAAGAAGGCUGAAAAGUUGUAAAAUCCUUUUGUUGAUGAAGAAUAAGGGUGAGAGGGAAUGCUCAUCUGAUGACGGUAAUCGGCGAAUAAGCCCCGGCUAAUUACGUGCCAGCAGCCGCGGUAACACGUAAGGGGCGAGCGUUGUUCGGAAUUAUUGGGCGUAAAGGGCAUGUAGGCGGUUAUGUAAGCCUGGUGUGAAAUCCUGGGGCUUAACCCUAGAAUAGCAUUGGGUACUGUGUAACUUGAAUUACGGAAGGGAAACUGGAAUUCCAAGUGUAGGGGUGGAAUCUGUAGAUAUUUGGAAGAACACCGGUGGCGAAGGCGGGUUUCUGGCCGAUAAUUGACGCUGAGAUGCGAAAGUGUGGGGAUCGAACAGGAUUAGAUACCCUGGUAGUCCACACCGUAAACGAUGUACACUAGGUGUUGGGGCAAGAGCUUCAGUGCCAAAGCAAACGCGAUAAGUGUACCGCCUGGGGAGUAUGCCCGCAAGGGUGAAACUCAAAGGAAUUGACGGGGGCCCGCACAAGCGGUGGAGCAUGUGGUUUAAUUCGAUGGUACGCGAGGAACCUUACCUGGGUUUGACAUCUAGCGGAAUGCCUUAGAGAUAAGGCCGUGUAGUUUACUACACCGCUAGACAGGUGCUGCAUGGCUGUCGUCAGCUCGUGCCGUGAGGUGUUGGGUUAAGUCCCGCAACGAGCGCAACCCCUACUGCCAGUUACUAACAGGUAAAGCUUGAGGACUCUGGCGGAACUGCCGAUGACAAAUCGGAGGAAGGUGGGGAUGACGUCAAGUCAUCAUGGCCCUUAUGUCCAGGGCUACACACGUGCUACAAUGGUUACUACAAAGCGAAGCGAAACUGUGAGGUGGAGCAAACCGCAAAAAAGUAAUCGUAGUUCGGAUUGAAGUCUGAAACUCGACUUCAUGAAGUUGGAAUCGCUAGUAAUCGCGCAUCAGCACGGCGCGGUGAAUACGUUCCCGGGCCUUGUACACACCGCCCGUC